rnacentral:tRNA from 1 species
UUUAAAUAGUUUAAUAAAAACGUUGGUUUGUGGGACCAAAAUUAUAACUAAGUAUAUUUUAAAUUA